AAAGAAGGAAAUUCUGACACACGCUGUGACAUGGAUGAACCUUGAGGACACUAUGCUAAGUGAAACAAGACAGUGACAGAAAAGCAGAUAUUAUGAUUUCACAUAUAUGAAAGACCUAGACUAGUCAAAUACGUACAGAGAAAAUAGAAUGGUGGGGCCAGGACAGAGGGGGGGACAGGGAAUUAUGCUUUAGUGAGCACAAAGCUUUAGUCCUGUAGGGUGAAUAAGUUCUGGAGAUCUAAUGUACAGCGUGGUUACUAGAGUUAAUAAUUACUGUAUUCUUAACAUUUACUGAGAGAGUGGAUCUUAAAUGUUCUCAUCACACACAUAAGAAAGCCGCUAUUGAAGUGACGAAUGUGCUGCUUAGCCUUACUGCGGUAAUCGUUUCACAAUGCACACAUAUAUCAAAAUAUCAUUGUAUACUUUAAACGUAUGCCAUUUUAUUUGUCAGUUAUACCUCAGUAAAGACGGAAAAAUGUUAAAACAGCCUCCCUGCUACCCACCCCCAGUAACCACAUAGGCGAGUCCAUCUACUCAUGGGGUUUUCAUUCCAGUGAGUGUGAGGUUUGCCGGGACAUGGGUGGGGGUCUUCUCACCCCCCCUGCCCCAGAGAGUCAAGCAGUUAACAACACCGACCAAGCAUUGAGUUCAUAAACUUUCGUAUCUGUUCUUGAGGUGGUCCCAGUGGCCGGACGGGGUUUGAGCCUGGUUCCUCCACUUCCCAGCCAUGUGACACUGGGCACAUCGCUUACACUCCGAGUCUGGCCUGUUUCCUUCCGGACUGCACGGCCCCGUUUGCACGGCCCCGUUUGCUCUCCAGUCGUAGCGUGGGAGCAGUGACGGCCACCUGGGCCGCGCCUGCGGGUGUCGCAGCGCCCUUCACCUGGCGCUGGAAAGGAAGGGUCAGAGCCUCUUUUUGCUUUAUUAUUAAAAGAAGGAAAUAAGCUCACAAACAAUUACUUUGAUGCGAUUUAUUCCACUUUACUGUGUUCCAGCGUUUCAGUUGUCUAUUGCUAUGUAACGGACCACCGCCAAGUUGGUGACUUGAAGAGCGCUGUCUUAUUAUUUCUCAUGGUUUCUGUGGUUUGGCUGGGCUGGGCUGGACAGGUUCUCUGCUGCACCUGGUUUCAGCUGUGUCUGGCGUGUCCAAAGUGGCUUCUCCAUUCACACGUCUGGACCCCUGCUGGGAAGGCUGGACCCCCUGGGGCUGCCCAGGCACCGCUCUCUGCGUAUGUGUGUACAUAUGAUAUAUGUGUGCAUGCCGUGUGUAUGAUGUAUGUAUGUGUGUCUUCUUUUGGAUUCCCAGAUGCGUGCCCCACUCCUGUAGGCAAACAUUCUACUGUGCUUAAUGUCUAUCUUUUAUUUGUGUGCAUUCUCACAAACUGUGUAUUAUGCCUUUGUACCCAUGCACGCUUAAUUUACAUAAAUGGUGUUGUGUGAUCGAUUCGAUUUUGCUUUUUACCUUUUCUGUUGAUGCUGUGGAUUUAGGCCUGUCCAUGCCACUCUGUAUUCUAGUUUGCUGCUUCGUGGCGUGCACCCACCCAGCAUCGUCCCCCAUUCUGCCGAGUCACCUGGCCGUUCUCCCGCUGCAGAGCCUCCCCUCCCUGCCUCUCCAAUGUCACUGCUAGGAACAUCCUCGGCAGAUUUUGAGAGAAUUUCUUUGGGCUCUAUGAACAGGAGCAGAAUGGCCAGCACACGGGGGUUGCGGGUCACAAAUAUGCCUGGGCAGUGCCAGAAGGCUGCUCUGACUAGACGCCGGUCCCUGCCCCUGCAGCAGUACCGCAGACAGACCUUCUCCUCCCAGCCAGUCCUGCUAACGCAAGAGGAUGAAGACUCUGGCCCUGCUUGCAAGGCUCUUAGGACAUUAUUGUCCCCUGCACCCCUGACUGCCCUCUGGACUUUGGUUUUUUGGAUUUGCCCUGGGCAGUCUGACCAAGUCCCUGGCAGCUCCAGGCCACAUCCCCCUGCCUUGUCACUUUGUCUCCAUUCACCCUCUCCUCUCCAGAUAGGUGUUGAUAGAUCUGCAUCAUGGUAAAUGCACCAGAGCAACUGGGAGCUGGAUUUUAUUCAAAGAGAGGAACUUGAUGGCGAUGAGAUAAUUUUACCUCCCUGACAGUGACCUAACAAAUCUCAGUGUUUAGCCCAGCACUAUCUGCAGAGAUCGUACUGCAGCACAUGCACGGGUUAGGAAGUGCUUUGUUUAUCAUUCACAGUGGCUCUGAGAAGGCAACCUCUGAGGGGGACACAUGGAGUAAGCUAUGUUACUGUGAUGAAAUGACACCAUGCCAGCAUAGAAGUCAUGCAGCUUUGGGAAUCUAGACCAGAUCACCUGUUCUAUACGCUUCAUUCCACAGGCAAAGACACCGAGACCCAGAAAAAUGGUCUUCCCAAGACUGCUGAGUAAAUGAGAGGCCAUGCUGGGACAGACCCCAAGGGCCCCUUUGUCCUGGCCCAUCCUCCUUUCAUACCCCUGCCCCAAUUUCCUUUCCACCAGCCUAUGCUGCAGGGACCCCAGAUUCGCAGACAGUCCCCAACUUUGCUCCAUGAGGUUGAACUUAUUCCUUCCCCAGAUUGGUUUUGAGAAAUACUCAGAAAUAGGAAACUGGCUUUACUGGUGAUUUUCAUUCCCUUUCCAAUUCAGUAUAGCAAACAAUAAAAUAAAACAAGAAUGAAUAAACUUAAUAGGAAGGAGAAGAUAAUAAUCAGAACUAUUUCUCAACUGUGAAAAGCCAGUAUGGAAUAAAGGAAUGAUACUUCUUAAGAAUUCUACAGGGGGUGUCCCCUCUGCUUUCUAGAUGGAGAAACAGAGUCAGAGAGACACUCAGGGAGUAACUGAAGAAAUAUGACCAAUUAUUUAGAAAAUAUAUCUAAAAUUACAGAAACAGUUUCUUGUUAUACUGUUCACAAAAGCCACUAAAGUAGGUUUUACUCCUUUAUAAAUGUCUCUUCCUUGUAACUCAAAGCAACAGCUUCUAAAAGUGUGUCUUUAUUCUUUUAUCCAGUGUGCCUUGAGAGUGAUAACAGUAAUAGUUUCAGAAAUACCAAAUAACAUUCAUGUAAUACUCUGAAAUUUGCAAAUUUACUAUAAGCAUCCAUGCUUGAGGAAAUCUUAAUUUGGGACAAGUGAUUAGUCAGGUAGGAUUGGGAGAUAAGGGAGUCAGUUCUGGUCAUAAGUAAGUAUCUCAUUGGACGUGUUUGAGGUCCUGCUCUUGGUAGAAAUCUACCACCGCACCUUGCCAUGCCCUGGAAUGCCCCCAAAACUUCCUUUGCAAAUUAGAACAGGUGGGGGCGGUGGGUCCUUCAGACUUUUUGCUAAUUUGAUCAUCCAACCAAUAGGAGAGAUGUUAGAAAAGAACGAGGACUUUCUUUGUAAUCCUGACUCACACCAAACACUAGUUUUGUGAACGGCUGGCCCAGAGAACCCCUUGAAGGGACCAUAGCACAUAAACCUAUCAGCAGAGUUCCCAGGACCGUGCCAACAAGCCCGGUGCUAGUGAACAUGUCCUUGGCCCUGGAAGUCCAGCUUUUGGCAGCUGCCACCUUAACCUAUGCUGUGAGAUCAAGGAGGUUUUUUCUUUUUAAUUCAUAUACUGUGAAUUUUACAGCCCAGUGAUCUGGGUACACUCCCAAAGUUAUGUGACCAUCAUCACUACCUAAUUGCAGAACAUUUUUAUCAUCUCAGAAAGAAACCUCGUGCCCAUUAGCAGUCACUCUGAAGUCCCUCCCUUCUGCCCUCCAGCCCCUGGCAAACACUCAUCUUUUGUGUUAUGGAGUUUCCUCUUCUGGACAUUUCAUAUACACAGAAUCAUGCCAUAUGAGGCCUUCUGUGUCUGGCCUCUUUCACCUAACAUGUUUUCAAGGUUCAUCCAUGUUGUAGCAGGUGUGGGCACGCCAUUCCUUUUUACGUCCGAGUAAUAUUCCACUGUAUGGAGGUAUCUCGUUGUGCUUAUCCCUUCAUCUGUUGGUGCAUUUAGGGAGGAUUUUGGUCCUAGUCUGAGCUGAACUUGAAACCUGUAGACAAUGAGUAUGUUUUUCCAUUUCCCAAUCAGGAGGCUAAGGUGACAAACUUAGUGUUUUAGGAAGGUUGCUGUGAAGACCAGGUUUGUGGCAAAGCAGAGAUGGAGGAUGAUGAAUUUGGAGCGUCAAUGUACUAAAUCGAAGAGGAAAGUCAAGGUCACCUAGGGAACCUGUGUGCAAGAAGCAAACCUCUCCCUCUCUCUCUCUCUCCCUCUCCCUCUCUCUCCACCCCACUCCCCUUCUCUGAUUGGAAAGCCAUAAGCCACAGGUUUAAAAGAGAAAAAGAGAAACUUAUCUUGGGGGGGGAAGGUGAAAGCCUAGUGGUGGUUUCAACCUUGCCUCAUAUUUCUCUUGGCGGCUCUGCUGAAAGUCAGCCGGCCACACUCCUUCCUGGAACGUGCAUCUCUGAUAAUUGCCUCUUGCACAAUUAUCUGCCAAGCCCUGUUGCUAAUGAAAUGAAUGAUUUAGUUAUCCUUGUUAGUAAUGGCCCACAUUGCACAGAGACCCAUUACUGCGUCCGUGAGGUUGGCAGGAAUGCCAGCCAAGGCACCUGUGAGUGAUUCUUACAAUUAGCUCUCUUAUCUCAGCUUGAUUGGGGAGGGGAAGGCCGCCAGAGGCCACAGGGUGCCGCCUGUCCGUGGCUCAGUCCCGGCCAUGCAUCAAGAGCUGGGAGCAUAUAGGGGCAAAACAAGAAAUGAGGCCAGACGGGGCUCCCUGUGUGCCAAUUGUGACCCGCAAAGCCUGCGGCUGCUUCCUCCCAGCACGGGGAAGGACACCCUGAAGGACUGUGGUGACAGGCUUCAUGUCAGGUUCACUUGGGUCCAGGGAGAAGUCCUGCUGGCUGGCAGAUGGGGCGCCCAGCCCUCCCUGCCUCACCACUGCACGCUUCUCCCCUCCCUCUGCCCCACUGCAAAGAGAACAUCUUUCUUUGCCUGCAGUGGCAGGUUUUUGCUUUUUCCCUCCUCUCUCCCCAGCAGUGCCUGUCAAUACCGCUCAUCUGUCUCCUGCCCGCCCCACCUUCCUCGAUUGCUCAUUCUUGCUGCUUUUCAAGGGAAAGGAAAUAAACCGGGGCCAGGACAACAGACAGGAAUGGGCAUGGUGGGCAAGAGAUCUGGGGGUGGUAAACAGAGAUGUGAAUACAGAAGGUUAUUUGGAAAACACCGUGUUAAGGCCCCCCCCCCAUACACGCUCUUGCACAUACACGUUUUCUCCCCAUCCUGCCUUCUGGAAGAUUAUAUUCAGGAGUAAGUGCCCCGGGUUGGAAAACAGCCACCCAGUGUUGUGACCGAGACGUGUGCUUCAGCUUACGCGGACGAGACGGUGCUUAGCUAAGGGGCUCAUGCCAGAUUAGCAGGACCAAGUGUUCACCCGAGGCUUCCCAAGCCAGCUAAUAGAGCCCGAGUAGGUACGGGGGACAGUGUGUGCACCGAGCUGGCUCCACCCCUUUGACUGGAUGUGACUCCGGGAAAGCCACUUAAUCCCCAGCAAUAGAUAGUAGACACUCAAAAAUGCUUGUAUACACACAGAGACAAAGUAUCCAUGACCAAUUUUCCAGCUCGAUCUCCACUAUCUGUACUAGUCAUGCUCAGUGUCUUACAAAAAGUAGUGGUGCUCUUCCAUUCCAACAAAACCGUGUGCAAGCUUAGAGAGAGAGGAGGACUUCUUUGGGUGGGGCGGGUGGGGGGUGGCUAACCAUUUUCUUAGGGCCUCUCUUUCCCCACACGGAGACUGCUGAGACAGCUUUGCUAAGAAUCCCAAUGGUCUGAAAACCCCUAGGUUCACCUAUGACAACGGAUGGACAUCAGGAAAAAGAAAGGGGAAGGAGGGAGGGAGGGAACAAAGGAAAGGAGGAAGGGAGGAAGAAAGGACGGGAGGAAAGAAGGUUGGUUUUUAUUGCUACUCGUACAAGAUUAUUGUGAGAACCAGCAGGAAAAUCUAUGUUUUGAAUCUAAUAAAUUGGGGCUUCCUCUUCUUGUUCAUCAAGACCACUCUUUCGUCCUUUUCGUCCCAAUGAAACAAGCCAUGGCACACAGGAGACUGCGGAGACGGCACGUGCGCUUGCUAAGCGGGUGGGCUGCGGCCCAGACUGCGCGGGUGUGGGUCCUAGCCCUGCCACCGUGAGCUGUGUGACUGGGCAAGGUGCCUAGCCUCGCGGUGCCUCGGUUUCCUCAUCAGUAAAAGUGGCUGUCGGCAGUGCCCACCCCACAAGGGUGCCAUGAGGAUGAAAGGCGUUGGCGUGUACAUGGUGUUCACAGCGGUGCUUGGCACACGGUCACAGCCUGAUAGGCGUUAGCUGUUGUGUGUGUGUGUGUGAGCGUGCCCCUCCUUGCAAUGACGAUUUUCACUUACACAAUUUCCAUCCAGACCUCUGUCCUCAGGUGGAGUGUCCUGUCUCCCCUCAGGGACCCAGGGGUGACUUAGCUCACCCAGAAGUGGGACAGAUGGCUGAGGAUUUCCCUGCAGGCUGCAGCCACGGUUCUGUGAGGGAGGGAAAGGGGCUUGAUGUCUUUGAUUGUUUUGCCUGGGGCAGAAGGAACCUAUGGUGGCAUAUAGUCACAUCUUAUUUUGCAGUUGUGGGAUGUAUAGUCAAACUUGCCCUAAUCUACAUGCUCUAUAAGCCCAAGGGGCAUGUAAUGGGGGUGGGGGCAGCAGGUGGUUAAACGUCCGAGCUCUGGGAAAGGACACUCAGCUGGGAUGCAUCUUGCCUAAAAUUCAUAGACCCAUUCUCUUGAUCUGACCUGCUCCUGGGGUAAGGUCCUGUGGAGAUGGUUUCCCAAGGGUCCCCCAAACACUUGUAAGGUGCUGUCUACAUGUAGGGGGUCGAUAUCGUGAAGACCCAAGGGGAGAGUUGCCAGCAGGGUGAGGGCCGAAACCUUGACCUAGAUGGUUUAUAUUAAGACCUUCCUGACACUCACCGCUAGGGUUUUCCUGAUGCAUCAGCCUGCUAAGUGUAGGGAGUGGCCGUGUCCGUUGGGGAAUUUGCGAUCUAGGAAGACCAAACUCGCAGGCUGGACUCCAUGGUAGAGGCAGUGCCAGUCCUAGGGGGUGGAGGGAAGAGGAUGGGAGGCUUCGUGGCAGUGGAGGGGCUUCAGCCAAGCAGGGAGGGUGGUUGGGUUUGAGCAGGCAGUGGAGAGGGGAGCAGGGACAUGCGAGAGAAGAGGACGAGGGCGUGAACAUGCCAGGGAAGGAGAGGAGACCAGGCUGACAGAAGGGCUAGAAGCAGCAUGUUGAUUUUGCAUGGGGAGCAUCAGCUGGAGUGAGGACGGCCUGGAAGCCCCUGUGGAAUAAUUUCUACCUGAUUCUGUGGGAAAUGGCGUUUGGCAGCAUGGGGCCUGGGGUGGGGCAUCAGGACUUGUCUUCUCUCCGGAACCGGCUGGCAGCCCUCCCGGAGUCAAGGGCGGGCAGAGCGAGGGUCUGUAGCACACGCAAACAAACGGGCAUCACGUAACCGUGCGUCCGCCGUCAACCGCGUUCUUACUCUCUUAAUCCUUUGGCCGCAAGAAUGGAUAAUCAUCGGCUUACGUAGACAUGAUUUUUGACAAGCCCUCAAAAAACCACAGUGUUAACUUGUCAGAUGGAGAAUCUGAGGCAUUGUACUGUAAAGGGCCCAUUCUAGGAGCUGUGGAAUCACCGUGGAGUAAGAGGCAGAGUGCCGACCACUGGGCCCCUCCUUCAGUGACCUGGCUUCUCAGCUUAGUCCUUCUCCCCAUAUCUUUUAACAAGGGGAAUCGCUUCUCGUUAGCACAAGCUGGUGGAGGUGGGCGGGAGGAAGAGGCUGCCUGGAUCUCCUUGGCCUGUUGGUGAGCAGUUAGCUGAUUAAGAAAGAUACAUGCCUAAUCUUUAGCCAUGUGGGAGGAGGAAUGAGGGCAGGGGCAGACUUGGACCUGAGACAGAGGAGGGGCAGCCCUGGUGGAAGCACGAGACGCUUCCCCGGUGGGGUGGCCUUUGCCAGGAAGGAAGGCCGUGGGCCAUGGGCCGUGGGGACGCUCAGAGGACGUGGGUGGUCUCCUCCUCCUGGGUGCUGCCCACCCCUGAGUUUCUCCCCAGCCCUCUUUGGGGCCGUUGCCAUCAUCCUUUGCCCUCCAAGUGCCCUCUUCCACCCCAGCUGCCUCUUGUUCGCUUUCUCCCUUGGGCCUGAGAACCGAUGGCAGGGUGCCCAGCCCUGCAUGCCUGGCACGGACGGCAGCCUCAGUUCCUGGUGUGUGUGUGUGCGUGUGCGUGUGUACGUGUGUGUAGGGGCUGGGGCCAACGGUGGAUCAGAGCACAGGAGUAGAGAGCUUCUGGGAGGGGGCCACCCAGGAGUCACGCCCUACACCCUGGAGCCCAGAGGACCCUUCGCUGGACCCACGACUGCCGGCAACACCUGAGCAGCCAGAGCAGCUUCAGUCUCUGACCAGAGGAGCCUGGGAGGAGCCGCAGGAGUAAGUCAUGCUGGAGGAAGGGCCGGGCUGGGCUCCAGGGAUGCCCAGGGGCAGUGGGUGCUGCAGAGCCAGAGAGGAGGGAGAUGAGAGGUCUUUGUGCCCCUCUGCCCUCCCACCCUUGUGUGUGCACAACAUCCACAUCCCUUUCCUUGCACCCUGGACCUGGAGGGCGCUGCCGCAGGCUGGACUCCAGGCAGAGCCACAGAGGUGGGAGGAUUGGUCCGGGGUUCCUGCCAGUGGGGUCUCCCCACAGGUACACGGCGUGUGGCUGUCUGAUGUUGGGGGCAGGCGUGGCAGGGUGGUCCUGUGGGGGCACCCAGGAGCCCAGGCGUCAUAGACCCUCAGCCCACCAUGCUGUCGGGUGGGGAAGGGAGAAGAGUAGGUGGAGGGGGGAGGUUUGGACAAGAUGCAAAUCCUGUUUCCACUUACAGGUACUCACGGCGGUGGGCCAGGACUCUGGAAAAGCUCUGCAGUCGAUACACUUGGCCUUAGAAAACGGAAGUAGGAGAUGGGGUCGUAUGGUGGGAGCCUCCUUUUGUAUACUCAGUCCAGCCUGAAUGUCAGACAUUUGGGGUCAAGAGCUGGAUGAACAAGGCCUUGGGCCCAGCUGUCACCUCCCGUUCCCCUGUCUGGACCUGAGGGCGGAUCCUGGCUCCUGGUGCACUUCUCCUUCUCCUCCUCGUCUUCUGUCUCCUCCUGGUGGUGGCUGUCCUCCCUUCAUGUCCUGGCAGGAAGCUCUGGGGCUGGCAGGACUCCUGGCUGCCCACAACCUGGGCCUGGUGGUUCUCUCAGGUACAUAUUCUAUGAGGUAAGGCUGCUGGGGGCCCUAGAGACUUCUAGGGUCUCUUUUUUCAGAGUGGGGGAAUUGCCCAGGGUAAAUAGAAUCAUGCUCUUCCUACGUAGAAAGGAGAACCCAUGAUGGGGGCGUGUGCGGGAGGGGCUCUGUCCCAUCUCGGGCUGCCUGCCUCCAGCACCAGGUCCAUCUGCCUCUCCUGUGGUGGCAGAGUGCAGGUCAGCGGAAAGCAAGAGUGUAGUUCAGUACCCCCACACCUAAGGGGAACCCCCAACUCUUGUUUCUACCUGGGCUCUGUUAGACUCUGCCCAGUUUUCUGAGCCCCAAACCCAGGUUCCUUUCAGACGCCUUGCAGUUGGUCACGUUCUGUGCCCACGUGCCAUGCCUUGUGCCAGGCUGAGCUGGGGCCUGCCGAGUCGCUGCUGAGUAAGGUGCACCUGCCCUCCAGGGGCGCAGGGUCUGGGAAGGGGACCGAUGUGGUGCAGGGUGAGCAGGCAGCACGCCCUGGGGCAGGCAGGCGGUGCAGCAGCCUGGUCCCUGGGCCAGGGGCUGGGGUGUCAGGAAACGCUUUCCAGAGAAGGUAGGAGUACUCAUCACUGACAUCCCCCCAGCACGCCGAGCUUAUUAUGGGCAAUGUCCUACUCCGAGCGCUUUAUGAGGGUCAGCUCACCUAAUCCUCAGGACACACUCUUUGAGGCCUAGGGGGGUUAAGUAACUUGGCAGGUGGCAGGGGCAGAUGCUGAACUCACACCGGGCACUGUGGCUGGCAUCCUCCACCUCCAUACUCGCCCGGCCCCUGGGGAGCUAGCAGGGAGCGGACUGUUGUCCAACCGGGAGAAGCAGGUCCUGGCGGCCAUGCCUCUUCCCCCUCCUCUCCCUCUCUUCCUUUGCCACUGCUCACCUUCACCCCAUCCUCCAUGCCAGGACAGAAUGAGCCACCCAAAUGCCAGAGGACCUUUGGAAGGAUCCUAGCACUGCCUGCUGGAGAUCCCCUGACGGCUUCCCACAAACUGCCCUGUGGGGCACGGAAGCCCUCGGCAGUCCCCUCUGGCCCCUGCCUUCCUCUCCAGCCUCAUCUUCCCGAACACUGGCCUUGACCAACGCGGCCGCUCACCGGACUCCACACGCCAUCCUUGGGGGUCCCCGGGCCUUGGCUGGUAACUGAUUUUCUGCCAAAAAGGCUCUUGUCUUCUGGUCUUUUGACAAAUCCCUGCACAUCCUCUAGAUUUGGGUCAGCUGUUGCCUCCUGGGAAGACUUCCCUGACCCUCUCAGGGUCAGGUAUUUGCUUUGUUCCUUAGGUUUCCCAGGUCUUGGAACAGACUCCUACUCUAUACCCCGCUCCACCCGCUGGUGGGCGCUGGGUGUGCGUCUCUUCCCAGCUCCAUGCUCAGUGACUUUCCGUGAAGCAUUAAUAGCUUGAAGUCCAUCACAGCGGGAGUGUUUGCACCAUGGAAAUUGGCCAACCCUACAAACCAGCUGUCCCACCUUAAGAGCCUGUUAAGCAUGCACAGACGCCCCCACUGUGUCUUUCUCCUGCUGCUUCACGGUUUGCAUGUCUGCCUGUCUCCUCUCCCAAGCCGCAGUGCUUCAAAGGCAGGUCCUGGUUUUACUUAUCUUUUUCUAAAGACAGGCCCAGCAUAAUGUCUGUGGACAUUGGAGAUACCAAUAACUUGUGAGACAUGCCCUAGACUUGUCAUUUAAUCAUGGUGACAAGGCACUUUGCUGCCCCCUGUUCCUUUGAAAACUCUGCCAUGCCAGGCCAGCUUCCUGCUCAGAAGCCGUCAGGAGCUGCCUUUACCUAUGGGACCAGAAUGCAAAGUCCCCCGAGGUAGGCAUUUUCAUCUGUUUUAUCAGUGUGACUCAGUGCUCAACAUGGAGAUGUGCUUAGUGCCACCUAACAUGUUAUUGACAAAUGUAUGGAUGAUAACAUUAAAUCUCCUUAUGACAGCCUUCAAGACCCUUUAUUAAUAAUUCUCCUCUCUCUCUCGGCUUCUGUGGCCUGCUUCCCUCAUGGUUGGAACCUCCCUCCAGUCCCACGGCUCCCACGAGUUAGGUCCUGUGCAGGCACCACACACUCUUGUCCGGGCAUGACAUUGUCCCUCCCUCCCCUCUUUUGCAUAAGGCCUCCUCAUUCUUCAGCCCUGGCUUCUGCAACACCUGCUGCCUCCUGCUCUUCCUCUGGCACGAGCCUUAAAGGUUAGAAUUGUUUCCUACAGCCUCAGGCUAUGAGAUUUGAGGGUUUGAGCUCCUUGGGGCGGGGCUGACAUACCGACAGCUUUGGUCCCCUCGGAACCCCUCCAUACCUACCUUAUAGUCUCAUACGCAGCAGGCACCCAGUGUGGGUUUGUGAUCUGUGUUCAGCCAUAUUUUUUUAAAAAUUAGAGACCGGCAAGAUGUAUGCAAGUCUCAGCCUCUGGUCGAGCCACUCCAUGGAGUUGAUUUUGUUAGCAGACAUCCCCCAAGUGUCAGUGGAGGUUGCAGCGGGACGGGUGUCCAGGGCAUGACAAGGCGGUGUUAGCUGCCUGGCUCUAAUAUCCUUUUCUCUUUCCUUCCAGUCCACGGCCCCCUUGUUCCUGGCUGACUGCAGUACUGCUGCCCACCGGUGGACUACAGCCGGAGCAGCUCGGUGUGAGGGCGCGGCAGGGAGUGGGAGUGAAGCCUGGAGGACAGGGUGGAGAGGGAGCCUGGCCUGCGGCUCCAGAGCCAUCUGAGCCUUCUGCUGGGGCACGGAGGUUAAUGCAGGCUUUGGAAUCAGGUGACCUCAGACCUCAGUUUGGAUCUCCACCCUGCCAGUUGCUUGCUGUGUGACUGUGGAAGGCAUACUUACCUUUUCUGGGCCUCAACUUUCUUAUCUAUAAAAUGGCAUAAUAAUAAUACCUACUUUAUAGAAGGAAAUAAUCAAAAGAAAAUGGGAUUAGACAAUGUAUGAACGUGUUUAGCACAGGGGCGGCAUGCACCAUUUCGUUGUUGUUAGCUGUUCUCUGUUUCCACUGGAAGCAGAACAGAAGACUUCCCUGUGGUUAAGACCACGCGGCUGAGGCUGGGCAGGUCACGGGUGGUGAGGCGAAGUUGGGUCACUGGAUGUUGGCAAUGGGCUAAAGCCCUUCCGCUCAGAGUAUGAUGCACAGGCGGGAACAUCAGCACCACCGGCAGCUUGUUGGAAAUGCGGAAUCCUGCACUCCACCCCGGGCACACUGAUUAAGAAUCUGCUCUUCAAAGAACAAGAUCCCCACUUGCUCAUUAGAUUACAAGGCUCCGGCUGGGGCACUUCGGGACAGUACUUCUGUGGUCACUCCAGUAGCUUCUCCCCAUCUUUCCGAUGCCACCAGGCCCUGUCUGCAGCCAGGUAGGCACCGUGGGCCCAGGCGGUGCAUAGAACAGCGAGGACCGGGCAAGGCAAGCUGUGCCACCAGCAGGACCGCAGUGUGACGGAACUUCCCCUUCCUGCCCAGCAGAUGGCGAGCGCGUGCCAGCGGUGCUUCUCAAAGGCUGUUGACUUGCGGGCGCGGUGGGAUCCUCCACCAGCGCGCUCCCGUGUGGAGUCAUGGAGUCGUAUCUGCCAGCCAGGCCUGGGUGGGUGUCCCGUGCGCCAGUGACAACGCGUCCCUCUAGCACCCUGUCGGACGUUCUCCGGGGUUGCCUGGGCGGCCGCGCCUGACACUGAUGUCAGAGGACAGCCUCGGCCCGGGGCCUGGCUGAGGAAGGUGCUCACGGGAGAGGGAGCACCCCCUGCCGCAGGCUCCGCGGGCCCUCUCUUCACCCCUGCACCGGAUGAAAGUAGGCGCUUGACCCACGAGCCGCCGGGUUCCAGGUUAAGUGGAAAUGGAAAACCCAACACAUCUUACGGCUGAUAGAAUAUCAUCAUCAGAUGGCAGAAGCCACCGUCACACACCAGCAAGGAGACGGAGCCUGCUUGUGAGUCCGAGGACUGCAGGAUGGAGUGCAGGGCCUGGUGUCGGGGUGGUGAUGAAAGGAGGGGCUCUUUCUUACCAGUCUCCCGCCAACAUGGAGUCCGAGCAGAGAACAUUCCGGGAUUUGUCGUGAGAGUCUGGGUUCUGCGCUGGGAGUUCAACACCCGAGUUCCCUCCCCGGUGCCCUGGAGGGCAGGACAGGAUAUUGGAAGGAGCCUACCAGUUGUGUGUCUUUGGACAAGUAACUUAACCUUUCUGUGCCUCGAUUUCCCUAUCUCUAAAAUGGAGGUAAUGGGAGUAUGAAUUGCACACUAUUAUGUAGAGUUUAAAUGAUUAUUUCGUUAUUUAGCCCAUAGUAGGUGCUAAACAGGUGUUUGUUGUUAUUUCCCUUUAGUUUUAGUCUGUCCUUCAGCAGAACAGGCAGAAGCACCUGUCCAACUCCAAGGGGCAGUUGAGGCCCCAGGAGAAGAGUCCAGAGAAAGAAGUCCCCGAGCUGACCCCAUCUCUCCUUCCUCUCCAGGUCUUCUUCAUACUGCAACAGAAGCCAGAGCAGCUCACCUUCCUGCAUGUCUACUACCGUGGCCCUGGGCCCUUCACCUGGCGGGCUAGAGUCAGAUAUGUACGAGGGUUACAGAGGUGCUAUUUGCAGUCUGGAGGGUGAAACAUGAAAGAAAAACCCAAACCACAGCGAGUGCAGCUAUGGAGCCUUCUUCAUCGGAAUGCUUAACUCCUUGGUCCAUGUCUUCAUGCACCUGUCCUGUGGCCUGGCCAGUUUGGGGCCAUGCUUGCAUCCCUACCUAUGGUGGAAGUGACAUCCUACAGCUGCCAGGGAGACCCCGUUGGUUCCAGGGUUCUAUUGUUGGCUACACCAGUGACAGCCCAGGGUCAGUUUGUGGCCAUUGCAGUGACUCCUACAGUCUCUUCCCCAUGGGCUCAGUGUGGCCGUCCUCCUCAGCACCCUCAGCCUCCUCACUCUUCGUCUCAACUUCCACCAGCAGAUGCCCCUGGGGGCAAGUGCGAGAAGCUGCGAGAAGGAGCAGGACCCAGGACGGAAGCUAGAGAGCUGUCCCACAGGGAGCUGUCCUGAAGACAGUGUGGCUCCCAGCCUGCGAGAGCCUCCCGCCGCCUCUGGGCCUCCACUGCGCCCUGUGAAGCAGGGAGGAUUUAGAGUCGCCUGCUUUGCAGAGUUCAGCCGGGAAGCAGCGGAGCCCGCUUCCGGCACUCGCGUCUGCUAGCGCGCGCCACGUUCCCCACACCGGGCGCAGUGCCUCAACUGUGCGUGUGGGUCCCUGGAGCCCACGGCUGGGGGUCGUGACCUCUGGCGACAAACAGGGCUGGGAAGAGGUCCAGGCUGGCUUGAUCUCCAACCUUACAGUGAGAAGCCGUGGCUGAGGAUGUCCAAGAGUGAGCGUGGGUCUGCUCGGCUUGAGUGUGGCUGUGUGAAUAGCUCCCCUGCGUAAAUGUAUUUUUGUCUGUUUACCGCUGCCCGCGUGUGUUUAUAGAGUUGUGUGAUUCCGUGUGCGCAUGGGGGGAGACGGAGAGGCCACGUGCACAUGUCUGAAUACUUGUUUUCAAAUACACACACGUUUCCAUGGGGCUUCUUGCUGUUUGUGUUGUUUGCUUGUCUCUUCUGUAAGUGCCACACUGGCAAAUGCAUAAUUCUCCUGUUCCAGUGGGAGCCAGAGAAGUCCACUGAGAAAUCUCCGAAUACAUGGUCUACUGAAAGCUUCAAAAGAGAAAUGGGUAAAGAGGUAAAAAGGGAGAAUGGGGUGCAGCCAUCCUCUCCGCAGAGAGGGCAGCGAAGGGAUGUCUGACGGAGGUCACUUCGUGUGGCAGAAGCCAACGUGGGCUGAGCAAGCAGCUCGCCGGGAGCUGUCCCCAGGCCUCCUGCGCGGCCUUUCCCCGUUAUGCCCCGAGCCCCGCCCAGCUGUUUUGAUCCCUCGGUAAGUUCUUGUGCGAUGCCUCCACAGCGAAGAGAAUUAAAGAACCACUGAGGGCUUCCCGGUGCUAUUUGGAGACUGUUUCCCCAUCCGCACUCCAGUUAAUCAUCUCAAGGCCACUCAGGGCUGCAUCCUGUGGACGGAAAACUCGGAGAAAAUUCCCCCAAAAUAACACAGGAUGUGAGCACAUCUCACACACUUUUCCACGUACGGGUUGAGUGACUUUGGGGGGCGGUGCCUUCUUAAGGCAAACUUUUGUAUUUUUUUUAAUUUUUUUAUUUUUUAUUUUUUAUUUUUUUGCAGCUGGUCAGUGGUUGUCAUGUAUGUUUUUUAAAUACAUAGGAGUAAGGUCUGUUCAUUUGCUUAGCAGCCAGGAUAAGGGGGGAAUUAGCUCAGAGCUAAUAUUUGUCCAGUUUUUUGUGGCUGCUUGUGCCUGUGCUGCACAAAGGGAAGUGGUACGUCCCGGUCACUCUAAGUGAAACGCGAGUUAGGCUGGGGAGCCUGGGGUAAGGCGAUGCACCUGAGAGGGUCUGGGGGAACAUUCUCAGCAGGCUGGGGGCCCCUUGUUUCCUGUCCUAUGGUGUGGUGCCUCUAGCUCAGGAGUGCUUUUUAAAUAUUAUUAAUAUUUAUCAGCAUAGGAUGGUUGUGUGACUAUUAUGAAACAAAGCUGUUUGGAUUUGGCAAAACAGCCUGAUUCUCAGCUAAAAAUUGUAGAAGUUUGUCUCCAUGAGCUGUUUAAGAUAAUGAUAAGGAAAGGUGCUGGUUAGAUUUUUAAAUAUAUACCAUGGUAGGGCUGAGCUAUGGCUCAUUUGCCAAGACAGGGAGGGCCAGAGUACCAGGUGGGAGGGUCCCAGAGUUGGACAUGGCGGGCAGCACCCACAUCCUGUCUUCCUGGACCCUUGUACAGAGGUCCAACAGCCAAUGAUUUGGGCUCCUGGCUUUCACUUCCUAAAUCAGAGUACUUCGAACUAAUGGAAGGAGAGUCCCCCCAGUGGUCUUCAUGGUCCCCUUCCAGAUCAGCCUUCUGAGGACCCUCCUCCUCCCGGCCGCACGCACACACACUCCACCAUCCACUCCGGAACCACCUACCCUAAGAGCUGCCCACUGACCAGUCUUUGAGCCAGGAGUCAGAAGGAAGGGUUAUUUGUCUCUUUCCUCACCCUCCCUUUCUCUCUUUCUUGAAGUCCUGUGCAUAAAUGCAGGGACCUCUUUCUAAAGAAGGGAGUCACUGCCUUUUGUCCUUGGUCCCAGGGUAGUCUUUGAGAAAAAUGUCUGUUAUGAAGGAAAUGCAUAAUUUGAAUCAGAGCUUUUGACAUUCAAACCCUCACAAUCAGGAUCUAAGGUCUCCUGUGUGUGAAAGCUUCAGGUGUCAGCGGGGUGCUGGGCAGGGAUGUAUGGAGGAGGGAAUAGAAUACCUAAGAAAUAAAAGACCCUGACUUCAAGGAUCUUGUAUUUUAGCAGGGGUAGGGAGGACAGGGACUCAUGAAUCAAAUAAGGGAACAUUUAUUUUUAAAAGAUCAUACAGAGCCAUUAUAAAGUUGGAGACCCACUGGCUGGGGAGGCAGCUCUGGAUUCGCAGAACAUCUGAGUUCAGAUUCUACCUGUAUCCUCCUCCUGGCAGGGGGAGGGCACUGGGCAGUUCAUAUCACCCUUUAGUGCCUUUUGUGCAUGGAAUUCAGCACAGAAGCUGCUUUCAGAUAUAACAAAUAUAUUUGAUAGAGUAAUAACCCAUAGUCAUUAUAAACCCUUCUUUUAAGAAUGCAUAAUAAUUUAGCAAUGCAAUGUUAAAAAUGUAGGAAAAUUCCAACUUUGAAAAGAAUUACACAUAAAUAUAAACACAAAAAUGUUAAGAAUGACUAUCUCUAGAGGGUAAAAUUAUGCAUGUUUUUAUUUUCUUUGCAUUUUCCUGUGUUCUGCAACGCAUAUUCUUUUUUAAUCAUGAAAAUUUAA